rnacentral:miRNA from 1 species
UUAGAAGAAGAAGAGGAAAA